rnacentral:rRNA from 1 species
CAGCAGCCGCGGGAAUACGUAGGUGGCAAGCGUUGUCCGGAAUUAUUGGGCGUAAAGGGCUCGCAGGCGGUUUCUUAAGUCUGAUGUGAAAGCCCCCGGCUCAACCGGGGAGGGUCAUUGGAAACUGGGAAACUUGAGUGCAGAAGAGGAGAGUGGAAUUCCACGUGUAGCGGUGAAAUGCGCAGAGAUGUGGAGGAACACCAGUGGCGAAGGCGACUCUCUGGUCUGUAACUGACGCUGAGGAGCGAAAGCGUGGGGAGCGAACAGGAUUAGAUACCCGCGUAGUCCCUGUCUCUUAUAC